AGAGCUUGGAUUAAUAGUGAUGGGAUCUUCUUACGUGUUUCUGUUGAUUUGAUUUCUGGAAUUGGAGAUAAUGGGUUGUUUUGGAAAGAAGAAGGUAAGAAGCUUGACCUGAACAUCAAGAGGAGGAAAGCAAGGAAGAAACCAAAGAUGAGAAGCUUGACCUGAAUAGGCAAUUGAGUUGCAGAUCCCAUUUUUGAACUGUGUUCGAAUUGGGUUUAGGGUUGGAA